GGUCAAGUGACGAAGCGUACACGGUGGAUGCCUUGGUAGCCAGAGGCGAUGAAGGACGUUGUAGCCUGCGAUAAGCUUCGGGGAGUCGGCAAACAGACUUUGAUCCGGAGAUUUCCGAAUGGGGAAACCCACCCUUUAUGGGUAUCCUGCACUGAAUCCAUAGGUGUAGGAGGCGAACGCGGGGAACUGAAACAUCUAAGUACCCGUAGGAACAGAAAUCAAUUGAGAUUCCGUCAGUAGCGGCGAGCGAACGCGGAUUAGCCCUUAAGCAUGUGACUGAUUAGGAGAACGGUCUGGGAAGGCCGACCAUAGUGGGUGAUAGUCCCGUAUCCGAAAAUCUGAAUGUGUGAAAACGAGUAGGUCGGGGCACGUGAAACCUUGACUGAACAUGGGGGGACCAUCCUCCAAGGCUAAAUACUCCUGGCUGACCGAUAGUGAACCAGUACCGUGAGGGAAAGGCGAAAAGAACCCC
rnacentral:rRNA from 1 species